rnacentral:lncRNA from 1 species
ACAAAUGUAGUUACUUUUAGUUAUAACUUGUCGCCGACAAUUAUGAUAAUGACUCUGUAGUCGGUAAUGUGAGACCUGAUUAUAUACACUAAGUACAUGCAAUUCAGCUAAUAUAGUGAGAGAUAGUCUUGUGACUCUUAUGAAAGUUGGAAGAUAAUAGAUGGCCUCGUAAUUUAGAUGAGAAUUCUUACUCAAUAUAUGUUAUCUGGAGGUUACUUUUGUCAGAAUCCUGGGCUCAAGCAGGCAGUCAAACCUUAAAAGAGAUAUGAAAUCACUGAAACUAUUCCGACAUCUGUACAUUGAAACAUGAGCAUGAUAAUGGACCAGAAAGAUAGUAAAGCAGCAAAGUGGAGGAAACAAACAAAUAAUUGUGCCUGCACUAAAAUAGAUUUUCCUUGCCUAUAAAGGAGUCUGUCUUUCCAACCAUAGAGGGUAGAGGUAUAAAAUCGGUGAGUGAACAUGCAUAAUCAGGAUAAUUAAUAGGGACAUAACGCUGCGCCUAAACCUUCGACCAUGGAGUUAUUUUCAUGGAACUUGCUUCCACAGCCUUAUACAUGUUCUUUGCUAAUUUCACAAAUGAUUUGUUGAUGAGGAAAACUUGCCCUCCUUGAGUUUUCCCUGAAUAGUUUUUGUAUUCAUCACAUGUACCUCUCCAUACAUAUUGUUUCUAUAUAAGAUCAGUAUUAAACACAAGGACAUUACAUUAUGUACAAAGAAUACACCUAAUAAGUUUUUAGUAGGCAUGUUCAUCAACAAAGACAAUGUCAAGAUGCGUUCAAUGUCCAUCUAGGGACCUCAUACAAGAGCUACCUGUGCAAGCGCAGUGACACGCCGAGGGAUGGCUUCAGAUCUGAUAGGUGCAAAUUGGCCCGAAAACCAACUCACUGAAUUCUCUUCUUCCUGUUGGGAAGGGAGUUAAUCAGAAUUGGAUAUAUUUCCACAAAGAUGAGUUACCUGUGCAGAAGCCAUGGAUGAUGGUGAGUAGCCGAAGUAAAAAAAUUGCGAGUACAGUCUCCAAGAACUGCCCAAAUCAAUCGACCAUAGCAAGCAUGAAACACCUGUAUGUAUAGUUUUUGGAAUGAGAGAAAAUCAGGGCAAUUCAAUUGCUUGGUGGAAGAAUGAAUCAUACAUUCAUAUACUGAACUGAAAAAUAUAUAGUGAAACCUAUCCAAUCAUCAUGUGGACGGAUGUUAUGCUUGGGAGGAAACGGUGAGUGAGCGGUAGUAAGGGGGGAAGCAUAUAUAUACACGUACUUGUACCGUGAGGCAGCGGAAAGGAUGGGCACAUCACCAGCCAUGAUUGUGUGUAGAGAAACUGAAGAUUUAUUGCGUCUUCAAAUCGCUGCGGAG